rnacentral:rRNA from 1 species
UACGUAGGGCGCAAGCGUUAUCCGGAAUUAUUGGGCGUAAAGAGCUCGUAGGCGGUUUGUCGCGUCUGCCGUGAAAGUCCGGGGCUCAACUCCGGAUCUGCGGUGGGUACGGCAGACUAGAGUGAUGUAGGGAGACUGGAAUUCCUGGUGUAGCGGUGAAAUGCGCAGAUAUCAGGAGGAACACCGAUGGCGAAGGCAGGUCUCUGGGCACUUAACUGACGCUGAGGAGCGAAAGCAUGGGAGCGAACAGG